UUUUUUUUUUUUUUUUUUUUUUUUUUUUGAGACGGAAUCUUGCUAUCUCGCCCAGGCUGGAGUGCAGUGGCGUGAUCUCGGCUCACUGCAAGCUCCGCCUCCUGGGUUCAUGCCAUUCUCCUGCCUCAACCUCCUGAGUAGCUGGGACUACAGGCGCCCACCACCGUGCCCGGCUAAUUUUUUGUAUUUUUAGUAGAGAUGGAGUUUCACCGUUUUAGCCAGGAUUGUCUUGAUCUCCUGACCUCGUGGUCCACCUGCCUCUGUCUCCCAAAGUGCCAGGAUUGCAGGAGUGAGCCACACUCCUGGUCGGUGUCAGCUCUUGAGAAGUUUGCAGCCUUCAUGUGGUUUCUGAGAACACAGAAGGAACUCAAUAGAUGUGAUUGGUGAUUAGUGGGUUAUAGGGAAGGAAUAUUGGACUGCGAUUAGUGAGGGGAACUCUCAAGACUCUGGCUGUGAUGGGCCAGGCGUGAUGUGAGAUGCUCCUCCAGACCUUCCAUGCAACACUGGUUUAUUUGUGCUGCAAGCACUUCUGACUUUUUCCAGUGCUGCAGCUUGAUGGUUCAGUGACAUCUAUCUUUCCUUUGCCUAGUGUACAGUGGCUUUUACACAAAGCUUCCUUCCAUUGAGUGACUCUGUCAAUCUCCUUUGUGUAAUUCAUUGGCAUUCCAUCUCUUUAUGGCAGAGUUUCUUCAGGUAGAGGAGGGUAAUUCUCUAUUCUUGGUAAUAAUAUCUGCCACCCGAAAAAAAAAAAAAAAAACACUAAAGAAGACACAGAAUAGCCAUAUCUUUACAAGAAGUGCCUAAAUAUAUUUUGAUCAUGAGUAAGGCACUAGAAAGUCAUAGGAGCGUCCUCUUCUUAGAGACUAUGGUGUGAUGAUCCUAGGAACAGCCGAUCUCACGUGUAGAUUUAAUAUGAUAUGUUUGUAACAUCAAUUCUGUUCUUCAAACUCCCUUCAGAUCCUGGUAAGUUCUCAAUAUCAUCUCAAAACCCUGGGGUUAAAAUACUGGUCCUUGCUUUGGACACUGCCUGGUGACUGACUCGGUCAGCGUAAAAUCCCUCAGCUCAUCAUCCAUUGCCAUCAAGACUCCAGCAGCUGCAGAGCAGGGACCCUCUGCAGAGCUAAUGACAGCUCCAUCUCUGAACCUACUGGCAAAAGAAGGGAUUGGGAGACCAUGGAGAUGGGCCCAGGUUAGUCCAGCCAUAGAGGGGGACAGCUUCCUGAGAAGGCAGCUUCUGCAGGCUGCUGUGUCCAGUCCUCGCUCUGUCAUUCCCUUCCCGGGAGAUGUCCAGGCCUGAAGAGCAUC
rnacentral:lncRNA from 1 species